rnacentral:rRNA from 1 species
UUCCGGUUGAUCCUGCCGGACCCUACUGCUAUCGGGGCGGGACUAAGACAUGCAAGUCGUGCGUCUCUAAGCCAUGGUGGAGACGCGGCGUACGGCUCAGUAACACGUGGCUAACCUACCCUUAGGACGGAGACAACCCCGGGAAACUGGGGCUAAUACCCGAUAGGUGAGGAGGCCUGGAAUGGUUCUUCGCUGAAAAGGCGUUGAAACCAUGCUUUUCAACGUCGCCUAAGGAUGGGGCCGCGCCCGAUCAGGUUGUUGGUGGGGUAACGGCUCACCAAGCCUAUAACCGGUACGGGCCGUGAGAGCGGGAGCCCGGAGAUGGGCACUGAGACAAGGGCCCAGGCCCUACGGGGCGCAGCAGUCGCGAAAACUCCGCAAUGCGCGAAAGCGUGACGGGGCUACCCCGAGUGCCGUCCGCUGAGGAUGGCUUUUCCCCGGUGUAAUGAGCCGGGGGAAUAAGGAGAGGGCAAGUCUGGUGUCAGCCGCCGCGGUAAUACCAGCUCUCCGAGUAGUAGGGACGAUUAUUGGGCUUAAAGCGUCCGUAGCCGGCUUAGCAAGUCUCCUGUUAAAUUCAGCGACCUAAUCGUUGAGCCGCGGGAGAUACUACUAGGCUAGGAGGCGGGAGAGGCCGACGGUAUUCCCGGGGUAGGGGUGAAAUCCUAUAAUCCCGGGAGGACCACCAGUGGCGAAGGCUGUCGGCUAGAACGCGCUCGACGGUGAGGGACGAAAGCUGGGGGAGCGAACCGGAUUAGAUACCCGGGUAGUCCCAGCUGUAAACGAUGCGGGCUAGGUGUUGAGGUGGCUACGAGCCACUUCAGUGCCGCAGGAAGCCAUUAAGCCCGCCGCCUGGGGAGUACGGCCGCAAGGCUGAAACUUAAAGGAAUUGGCGGGGGAGCACACAAGCGUGAAGCUUGCGUUCAUUGGAUCAACGCGGUAAUC